rnacentral:rRNA from 1 species
UACCAGCACCCCGAGUGGUCGGGACGUUUAUUGGGCCUAAAGCAUCCGUAGCCGGUUCUACAAGUCUUCCGUUAAAUCCAACUGCUUAACAGGUGGGCUGCGGAAGAUACUAUAGAGCUAGGAGGCGGGAGAGGCAAGCGGUACUCGAUGGGUAGGGGUAAAAUCCGUUGAUCCAUUGAAGAACACCCGUGGCGAAGGCGGCGCUCUGGGCCGGUACUGACACUGAGGAGCGAAAGCGUGGGUAGCAAACAGG